rnacentral:ncRNA from 1 species
CCCGCUGAGUAUAAGAAUAUCAAUAAGCAGAGGAAAAGAAACUUACAAGGAUUCCCUUAGUAAUGGUGAGUGAAUCGAGAAUGGCCCAGCCAUAGAAUUGGGCAGCUUCAUCAUCUGAAUUAUAGUUUGGAGAAGCAUCCUCAGUGGUAGACUGGGCCUAAGUUCCCUAGAAGGGGAUGCCAUAGAGGGUGAGAGCCUCAUUCUGUUCAAACCCUGUCGCACCAUAAGGCACUAGCCACGAGUUGGGUUAUUUAGGAAUGUAGACUAAAUCAGGCGGUGAAUUCCAUCUAAGGCUAAAUACGAGCAAGAGAGUGAUAGCGAAUAAGUACCGCAAGGGAAAGAUGAUUUGAAAAGAGUGUCAAAGAGUGUUUGAAAUUAUUGGGAUAGAAGCGGAUGAUGGAUAGCGAUGCACCCAAGUCAUAUAUUUAACAUUGGCAAGCCAGUCUGCCGAUCGACUCGAGGCGUGGACCAGCAUGAAUUGGGGGCGGCCAAAGCCCAGGAACUCGAUACGCUCGUGGAAUGUUGUCUCCUUAAUUGUGGUAGAAAAUGUGCACCUCUGGCAUGCUUCAGCAUCUACGCGCUCCAACGUUGACCUGUGGGCUCCCCAUUCAACCUGUCUUAAAACAUGGACCAAGAAGUCUGACAUGUGUGCGAGUUAAUGAGCGAGUAAACCCAUAAGGUGUCAGGAAGCUUACUGGUGGGAUCCCCCUAAGAGGUGCACCACCGAUCAACCAUGAUCUUCUAAGGAGGGUUUAAGUGUGAAUAUAUCUCUUGGGACCAGAAAGAUAGUGAACUAUGCCUAAGCGGGGUAAAGCCAGAGGAAACUCUGGUGGAGCCCCACAGCAAUACAUACGUCCAAAUCAUUCAGCUGACUUGGGUAUAGGGGUGAAAGACUAAUUGAACCAUCUAGUAGUUGGUUCCCUCCUAAUUUUCCCUUAGGAUAGAUGGAGCUCGCGUAUGAGUUCUAUCAGAUAAAGCUAAUGAUUAAAGGCCUCAGGGCGCAACACCAUCGACCUAUUCUCUAUCUUUAAAUAGGUAGGAUGACGUGGAUUUUUUAUUGAUUCGUGCCACAGAAUCAAGCGCCCUAAGUGGGCCAUUUAUGGUAAGAAGAACUGGCAAUGCGGGAUGAACUGGCAGCCACGUUAUGGUUCCAAACAGAAUGCUAACCUAGAUUUCACAAAGGGUGUUGGUCAAAUAAAACAGUAGGACGGUGGUCAUGGAAGUCAAAAUCUGUUAAGAAGUGUGUAACAAGUCACCUACCAAAUCAAAUAGCCCCAAAAAUAGAUGGUGCUUAAGCGUGCGACCUACACCCAUCUAUCGGGAUAAGUGCCAGGCCCCAAUAAGUAGGAGAGCGCACCUUUCACUGCAAAACCUUGGGCGCGACCCCAGGAGGACGAUCGUCGGUACAGAUCUUGGUGGUAGUAGAAAAUAUUCAAAUAAGAACUUUGAAGGAUGAAGAGGGGAAAGUUUCACAUGGGUUAGUCGAUCUUAAGGUUUGGGAGAACCCUGAAAGAUAGCUCUUUUUGCACGUACUCUAAAAAGGAAUCGAGUUAAAAUUCUUAAACUGAGACAUGACGGUCUAUGGAAAUGUUUGGAAAUUUGAAUACAUCAGUGGAAGAAUCAGAAAGAAUUAUCUAUUUUGUUUAACAGCCUGCCCAACCUAGAGUCGGCUCAGCCGGAGGUAGGGUCCAGCCGUUGGAAGAGCACUACACGUCACGUAAUGUCAGAUAUGCUCCCGAAUAUCCUUGAAAAUAUGAAGGACCAAAUGCCCUCCAUGCUUGGUCAUACUCAUAACCUCAUCAGGUCUAUAAGGUGAACAACCUCUAGUC